rnacentral:lncRNA from 1 species
GGAGGGAGUAGUAUAUAUUUCUGCACUAUUUCUCAUUUUCUUUUUAUUACUUGUGACAUAAUAUUUGUUACAAUUUUUGGUAAAAUAUAAAUCCGGAGAUUUUGUUACGUUGUGCAAACUUCUAACAUUUUUUUAUAAUUUAGUAAAAUUUCUAUUAAGUUUUAGGAUUUUUAUUAAGCUUUCCAGAUUGGUACAACACAUAAUUUUGGGUUGGAUAGAACUCCGGGUAUGAAAUUUUAAAGUGGACUGUUAGUUUUGUGUUGUCAGCUUUAGUUUUUGAGGUUUACACAAUGAUUAGUUAAUCCUAGUGAAUUUUAUAAAAAAGAGAUAUAACAAAACUUAUGGACAAUAUAAUUGUGCAUGUUUUGGUGAAGUUUCAUAAAUUUUGGUUGAGUGGUUUAGUAGAUAUCAAGUUUUUACCAUCAACUGUCGGAACUCAAGACAGAUUCUAUGGCCUGAAUUGAAGAUUAGUACAGUAGUUUGGUUCAAAAUUCGACGUGUUAAUCUACUUCUCGAUUUGUUCACCGAAAAGGAAAAUGACUAUCGCAUAGCCCGCG